rnacentral:lncRNA from 1 species
GUUUUUCUUCUGAUUACAACAUUAAUAUUUGCUAGGCCUUGGAUGAGAUCUAGAAAAUUGCCACAAAAUGGGCUUGCAGUGCAUGAUCUCUUCACGGUGUCUUCAGGUCGUUUUCACAGGGCUAGGUCUGCUGGGGGGAUUUUCUG